rnacentral:lncRNA from 1 species
AAAAGACAAAUAGAAAAUAGGGAUAACAUUAAGCACAUAAUUGAGCAAAACCACAUUCCCCCAUGCUAACAUACCUCUGAUUCCAAGAAUUGAACCACUUAGAUAACAUAUUAAUAAGGGGUUCCAAGACACUUCUCGGUUGGGAAUAACUCCAACAUGUAGCCUCAUAUAUUUAAAAGGAAGGCUCUCAAUUUUAUAGUGGAGAAAGUCACCAACAAAUAAAAAAAC